AUAAGAUGCAAACAGUCUUCAUGCAAAAUCGACUGUGUACUUCACUUCUCAGUUGCAUGUAAAGCUUCUUCUCAAUUGUUGUGAAUCCAGAAACUCAUACACAAGGUUUCCAACAAAGUUGCUGCACUGCUUUCUGCCUUAGCCAUCAAUGGAGGUAUUGUUUUGCUAGCUAGGUUUAUUAACUUGCCUGUUUGUUCAUAGUUUGUCUCUAUCGUCUUUCCUGUUGUUCCUACCAGUCUUUUUUCCUUAUUAUUACGCUUAAGAAGCUUCUGUUUUAUUCACUGUGUAAUUAUGUUAAAACAAAUCUCCUCGAUUGUAAUACGGACAACAUGAGUUCCUCUAAGUUAUAUCGACCUGACAAUGCUCUGAAUGUUCGUGAGAAAAAAAAUGAGAGGAAUAGAAAAAAGAGAGAAAAAUUUGCUGCUCUUUCGAAGGAAAAGAGGCUCAUCGAAGGAAAAGUAGAGAUGCGUAUCACAGAAAAAAUUUAACCAAACUUUUGUCCAAGCCAGUUGGUGAACAAUCUCAGCAGAUUUCCAAACUAUCAGAUACUUCAGGCUCUGUUACACCAGCUACUUCUAACAAUUGUGCUGAUGCUGCAAAACUUCAUGCAAAUACACUUGCUCAGAGAGCUGAUGGCUGUGUCAACACAGCUACCUCUUCUAAUCCUCAACUAUCUGCAUGCAACCGUCAAUAUGACAAUGUUACUUGGCUUCAAAUGUGCUCCGUCCCUCCUGCCUUCCAUGCACAUCAAAAUCAUCUUCGAGAUUCGCACAUUUCGCCGCUUUCCUAUGCCACUAUACAUGAUUAUGGUACAUGCCUAAUGGUUAUACUUACUACUAUAAGGAACUGGCACAAUUGUUUGUUUAUUUUCGGUUGCUGUCCUCAACUCUGUAUUUCUGUCUGUCUACUUGGUAGACAAUGAGGUUCCUAUACCUGACGCUGCAUCAAAAUUAAAGAAUGGUGUCUCCUACAUAUGAAUGAAAACAACUACUAUUACUUAGUAAAGACAACAAAAAAAUACUAAUGAAAUUAAAUACAACAACUGCAACCAGGAAA